rnacentral:rRNA from 1 species
AUGAACGCUGGCGGCGUGCCUAAUACAUGCAAGUCGAGCGAACGGACGAGAAGCUUGCUUCUCUGAUGUUAGCGGCGGACGGGUGAGUAACACGUGGAUAACCUACCUAUAAGACUGGGAUAACUUUGGGAAACCGGAGCUAAUACCGGAUAAUAUUUUUAACCGCAUGGUUCAAAAGUAAAAGACGGUCUUGCUGUCACUUAUAGAUGGAUCCGCGCUGCAUUAGCUAGUUGGUAAGGUAACGGCUUACCAAGGCAACGAUGCAUAGCCGACCUGAGAGGGUGAUCGGCCACACUGGAACUGAGACACGGUCCAGACUCCUACGGGAGGCAGCAGUAGGGAAUCUUCCGCAAGGGGCGAAAGACUGACGGAGAAACGCCGCGUGAGUGAUGAAGGUCUUCGGAUCGUAAAACUCUGUUAUUAGGGAAGAACAUAUGUGUAAGUAACUGUGAACAUCUUGACGGUACAUAAGCAGAAAGCCACGGCUAACUAAGUG